UUGUUCAUCUUCAAGAGAGAAACACCAUAUCGAAACAGCAUCCGAAUCGAAUUAACAAACGAUACAAAAUACUGAACAACCUGACUCUUCGAAUCCAAAUCAAUGGUCUUAAACAAGAACUGUUGACCGUCCCAAAUUCCAAGAGACAUAGAACUAUCAGAAGCAGAAGGACCUUUGACUUUGAGAUUCAACAUAUUUGUAAAGUUCAACGCGUGGUAGUUUUUAGGGUGGAGAAUAGAGGCGCCGGCUUCGAAGGUUUCUCCGGCGAUGGUGACGGUGGCCAUGCGGCCGCCGACGACGGGAUGGCGCUCGAAGAUGUGGAUGGUGGUGGUGGGGGUUGGGGAGUAUUGACGGAGGAAGUGGGCGACGGAGGAGCCGGCGAUGCCGGAUCCGAUGAUGCAGAUGUCGGUGGUGGAAGAUGAGGGGAGUGUGAGAGAGAGGAGGGUGAGGGUUAGGAGAGUAGUGGUGAACAUGGUGUGGUGUGGUAAGAAUUGCCGGUGGUGAUUUGGGAUCUCCGGCGAGUGUGUGGGUUUAAGGAGAUGAGCAAUCAAAGGAUCCGGUUUCCGGUCAUGGAAUUACGUAAAUACAUAUAUUUUUAAUGUUAUAAAUAAAAUUAUUUAUAUUGUUGAUUUAAGAAGCGAUCUUCCGCGUUUCAUUAAAUGAGUGAAAAGAAAAGAUUUGGAAGGAAAUAAUUUUUAGUUGUGUUUCAGAGUAUCAUUAAAAGGGAGAAAAGAAUAAAAAAUGAGAGAUUUUUUGUUUAAAAUUAAUUUCUCCAAUUUGAAAAGAAACGGAGAGAAAAGAAAAUGAGAGAAUCUUUUGUUUUCUCUCCUUAACUUAACUCGGGAACAUAGUGUAAGUCUAUGGAGUAUUGAAGAUAUUUUCCUUAACACCAUGUCUAAUGGUUCAAGCUUUAAGGUCAUGGGAUGGGGAGGCCUUAACUAUAUGUACGUGUCACAUUAUCUAUUUGACCCUAUUUCACUUCACCUCACAUCAAGAAAAUGGUUUAACAUCUGUUAGCGUCCCUUAAAUUAAUUAAAAUACACACAUAUAUAUAGCAUGUUGUGUGUGUGUAAUUUUUUUAAUGUCUGAUUCCCUUCUCUUUCCUAGUUAACUUCUAACACGUUAAACUUAUAAUGCCCCUUAACACUUUUCAGGAGCGGUACGACAGAUGUUAACGGAUGCCAACUAGAAUUAACACAUAUGGGUGUUAGAGUAUAUCAGACGGCCUAAAGGAUGUUUUUCGUCAUGUGAACGUCACAUCUCUCAUUCAGCAAAGGUAUUUUAAAGCAAAAAGUUAAUGUAUUGACUCAAGCUUCUUCAAUAAUUACAUAAUUAUUUUUUAAAACAAAAUCAACUGAUAGUAGAGGUAAAUGUUGUAGAAGUGGGUGAGCAAGAAGGCGUGAAUCAAACCACACUUCGGACAAAUUGGGGUCUUUCAUGAGGUGGGGGCGGUGGUGCAAGGCGUUUUGAGUGUGAUGUUGGCGAACCACGUCCUACUUCAGAUAGUCUAAGUGGGGAUGAGUUGUCAAUACAAGAAAAUGAAUAGGAAAAUAUAAUAGAUAAAGUUACAAUUAUUUGUUUUGUUAUAACGAUUAAAAAACAUGUCACAAUUGCUAUGGUAG
rnacentral:lncRNA from 1 species